rnacentral:rRNA from 1 species
UACGUAGGUGGCAAGCGUUGUCCGGAUUUACUGGGCGUAAAGAGCGCGCAGGCGGUCGUUCAAGUCGCGUGUGAAAGCCCCCGGCUCAACUGGGGAGGGUCACGCGAUACUGAUCGACUCGAAGGCAGGAGAGGGUAGUGGAAUUCCCGGUGUAGUGGUGAAAUGCGUAGAUAUCGGGAGGAACACCGGUGGCGAAGGCGGCUCUCUGGACCACUACUGACGCUGAGGCGCGAAAGCUAGGGGAGCAAACAGG